CAGUCGCCGCGGUAAUACGGAGGGCGCGAGCGUUACCCGGAUUUACUGGGCGUAAAGGGCGUGUAGGCGGCCUGGGGCGUCCCAUGUGAAAGGCCACGGCUCAACCGUGGAGGAGCGUGGGAUACGCUCAGGCUAGAGGGUGGGAGAGGGUGGUGGAAUUCCCGGAGUAGCGGUGAAAUGCGCAGAUACCGGGAGGAACGCCGAUGGCGAAGGCAGCCACCUGGUCCACUUCUGACGCUGAGGCGCGAAAGCGUGGGGAGCAAACCGGAUUAGAUACCUCGGUAGUCCCUGUCUCUUAUAC
rnacentral:rRNA from 1 species